AUUGAACGCUGGCGGCAGGCCUAACACAUGCAAGUCGAGCGGAUGAAGGGAGCUUGCUCCUGGAUUCAGCGGCGGACGGGUGAGUAAUGCCUAGGAAUCUGCCUGGUAGUGGGGGAUAACGUCCGGAAACGGGCGCUAAUACCGCAUACGUCCUGAGGGAGAAAGUGGGGGAUCUUCGGACCUCACGCUAUCAGAUGAGCCUAGGUCGGAUUAGCUAGUUGGUGGGGUAAAGGCCUACCAAGGCGACGAUCCGUAACUGGUCUGAGAGGAGGAUCAGUCACACUGGAACUGAGACACGGUCCAGACUCCUACGGGAGGCAGCAGUGGGGAAUAUUGGACAAUGGGCGAAAGCCUGAUCCAGCCAUGCCGCGUGUGUGAAGAAGGUCUUCUGAUUGUAAAGCACUUUAAGUUGGGAGGAAGGGCAGUAAGUUAAUACCUUGCUGUUUUGACGUUACCAGCAGAAUAAGCACCGGCUAACUUCGUG
rnacentral:rRNA from 1 species